CCUCAAUUCUAAAAUGAAAUCAGCCAUAUACUCACUUACUUAUCGGUCUCUCUCUCUCACUCAAUCACACUAUUGACUUCUUCCCCAAAUGCACAUUAUGAAAACACUUCCCCCAAAUCAGAAUUUCAAUCGCCUCCCCCCUUCACACCUUGCUGCCGUCGACCAGCCGCCACUGUCGCGCCGCCCCCGCCUCCGGCGGCUUCCCCUUCUCUCUUUCUCUUCUCUCCCUUUCUCUCUCUCUCCCUCUCUCUUCACCGUACCGCCGCCGCCACGAAUCCGCCACCGCCGGCAUGCACCGCCUCGCCGCCCCUCCGACAGCUUUGCAAAUUAGAAAUUUCAGAUUUGAAAGGAAUGAAGACAGUGUCGAGCUUGCUACCGAAAGUCUCUCCGACAGAUUCCUAUGUUAUUUCAAGCUAAGUUCUUAGUAUCCCUUAAAAUCGGCCAUUUUAUUUUUCAUGUUUUUGAGAUGCUAGCAACUAUGUUCUUGAGAUACUAAAUUUGCCUAUAAGCAAUAUCCAUCGGAUGCUAAGUUGGUAUU